rnacentral:tRNA from 1 species
ACCUGGCUGGUUCAGUCGGUAGAGCAAGUGACUUUUGAUCUCAGGGUUGUGAGUUCAAGCCCACGUUGGGUG